rnacentral:rRNA from 1 species
UACGGAGGGUGCAAGCGUUAUCCGGAUUUACUGGGUUUAAAGGGUGCGUAGGCGGGCUUUUAAGUCAGCGGUGAAAUCUCCGGGCUCAACCCGGAAAUUGCCGUUGAUACUAUUAGUCUUGAAUUAAGUUGAGGUGGGCGGAAUAUGUCAUGUAGCGGUGAAAUGCUUAGAUAUGACAUAGAACACCGAUUGCGAAGGCAGCUCGCUAAACUUAUAUUGACGCUGAGGUCACGAAAGCGUGGGGAUCAAACAGGAAUUAGAUACCCGUAGUAAGCUC